rnacentral:lncRNA from 1 species
UUUGUGAAUAUCCAAAAAGAUUAGUAGUUUCUAGUGUAGCAUAGUCAGUAGCAAUCUUGCUCAAUAUCCCUUUGAUGUCCAAUAAUUUGGUGGAGCUUUUCUGAAACUAUCUAAUUUAAUUAACUUCUGUCCAACAAAGCGGCACAACAAGCUUUUUUCUAUCCACCAAGUCUUCUAGCGUUGGAUUCCAAUAAAUGCAGUUUUUGGCAUUGUUAGAAACUGAACCUUUUGUACAGACAGGAUUGAAAUUGUGUGCUCUGUAUUUAGUUUGAAUUUGAAGAUAGCAAUAGCAUUGUCAAAUAUCACAAGCAGUGGGAGUGUUCUAUUUUAUGGUGGAAGAACAUCCUAGACAUGAGAAAAGGAAGAAACUAUGGCAUUUUUUAGUAAUAUUCUCUUCACAAUUUUGAGGGGAAAUGGACUUACAUUGCAAUGGCAUCAUCUGGUGUUAGGCACAAAAGUUAUACAUUGUCCUCUGAAAUUGUUUUUUUCCCUUUUCAUAUACAUCCUCUACAGUUUGGUUGGUCACAAGUUCACUUGAUAAUACUGUCCAGAUGGUAUGAAACUGUAUUGGAUUUCUAUUUCGAGUUUCCUCUCUGAUGGGAUAUGUUUCUCAGGAUCUACCUUCUACAAUUGAUGUUUCUUAGAGUACUCAGUCCACCUUACUGGAUUGUUCUUUCCCCUGAACUUUGUACGCCUCAAGCAAUAGUAUCGAUCAUCUUGAAGUUAUUCGUAAUGUUUUCAUUUGUAGACAACACGUGUUGCUCCCUUUUGAAUUUCUGGCAUUACAGUUGCUUAAAUUUCGAAAUUCGUACAAUGCAGUAUAUGCCAAGGUUUCAAGCAGAGAAUUUGGAGCACAACAAGAACUUGUACGAGCAGGUCAAUGCCAUUGCUUCAAGGAAGGGUUGUACCCCAUCACAGCUAGCUUUGGCCUGGGUCCAUCACCAAGGCAAAGAUGUUUGCCCCAUACCUGGCACUACCAAGAUUGAGAACCUCGAUCAGAAUAUAGGAGCUUUGUCUGUGAAACUGUCGGCAGAGGAAAUGGCGGAACUUGAAUCUAUUGCUUCGGCUAUCAAGGGUGAGAGAUACGAGUCUGACGCUGGCACUUGGAAAACUUCUGAAACUCCACCUUUGUCAACCUGGAAGAGGACAUGAAGGCGUACCUUUGUGAUGGCAAUAAUCCCUUCUAGCUGUGUGCCUGUUGGUGGAUUUCACUAUAUUGGGAGUUGAGUAACAUGUAUUUGUUCCAAGAAAUUUCGUCAUAUUAUUGUCUCGGGGGUUUAAGGCAUGUAAAGUUAUAAUAAGAAGAAUGGAGUUUUAAGAGUGAUUGUAAUGAAUAAAGAUUUGGUCAUGUAAAAGCAUAUAGUAAUUUUCCUUGCAGUAUGCAUUAAAGAUUAUCUAUUGUACUUCUGAAUAUUAUAGUUUGGAAAAAAAAAAAAGGAAUACUUGUUAUCAUUUGGGGGGGGGGAAAAUACUGUAGCUGUCACGCCUCAUUGCUCGCACGUGCCACGUGCUAGUAACGAGACAUCUGUUAUAUUUCUCGCACGUGUUAGUAACGAGACAUCUGUUAUAUUUCUCGCACGUGUUAGUAACGAGACAUCUGUUAUAUUUUUCAAGGACAAGACAAUAUUAAACUAGAAAUACUUACUUAAAAAAUAAUAGCAUUAAUGGAACUAAUUAUAGUGCGGUAUAACUUUGUAUUUGAAAUAACCUAUAAAUAUUUGAGGAUUUCAUAUGCUAAACAUCAAGUAGAGAUAACAUGUGCGAGUAUCAACUAUUAUAGUAUAGCGAAGUACAACUAUACUACUAAUUCUUAUCUCCUAAAGAUUUAGUAGAAAUAAUUUUUUGGGUUUUGGACAUAGACUAACUCAUAAUAUCCAAAAUCUACAAAAGUAAUAAAAAUGGGUUGAGCGAUGAUUGCUCGGUAGGUAGCAGCUACUGUGAUGUCUCGCAAAAAUUUAUUAUUUUUAAAAUCCAUUCCGAGCAUAUUUAAAUAUUUAAUUGUCCAUUUACUCUGAUUAUUAUUUUCUAACUUUUUUGAAUCUAAUUACAUGGAUUUAUAGUUUCAUUAUAUUUUUUUUAAACUGUCUCGUUUCAAAAUUUAAUUUUUGAAAGCUCAUUAAGUGAAAAUGGUGAAUACGCGAUUAGGGAUUUUAGCUGAUUUGAAAAUACCAUAAGUUGGGAAAAUUGGAGACUUGUACAAUGGUCCUAAAAUAAGUAUUUCUAUGUUUAACUAUUCAAGUGAUAGUUAUUAGUACUAUCGUUAUAAGAAUUUCUUGGAAAUUUCGCUUUAUCACGCUAAAGUUGGAGAUACGCGUUUUUACACGCGCGAUUUAAUUGAGGGACUUUAGACCCUUAUUCUGGGACAAUUAAGAGUAAAUAAUAUUAAUAUGAUUAUAAGUAUAUUGGAGGUUUAGGGCACUAGUGAAAUGAACGCGAGAGAAAUCGAGCACAAAACGCGCGCGUACGCGCACUAUUGAAGAGUUGACUUUUGCACCAAUUCUAGCCACACAUAUAAAGCUUUCUUAGGAAGCUAAAUCCGAUCAAAACACUCUCUCUCUUCCUCACAAAGUGGCCGGCCAUCAGCUGCAAAAAUAACCCAAGGAGUUCAUUAUUUUUCAUCUCAAAAUCUUGCACAAAUCAUUUCCAAUUCCUUACAAAUUUCACACACACUUAGCUUAAUACUUGGAGAUCAUAUUAAGCUGCAAAAAGGGGGAGCUUUUCACGGUUUUCUUGAGCUAAGAGAGGGCCGAAAUUCUGCCUUGUUCACCAACACAAGUAAGUGACGAUCAAUCCUCAAAUUCUUGGCCUAUGGAAGUUGAUUUACACUUAUGAGCUUAGAUAUUCAUGUGGGUGGCUUGUUAUUGUUGGAAAAUUUUGAAUGUGGGCUCUAUGAACUCCCAUUCUUGGGUUGAUGGCUGAUAUGAUGCUUGAAGAUGGAUUUAAUGUUGGUUUAGUGCUCAAAUUGGUAGAUUAAUGGUGCAUACCUAGUAUAAACUUCAAGGAGUGCAUGGAUGUAAAGUUUCCAAUUCUGCCCCUGUUAUGAUCGUGCCUCUUUUUGUUGAAUUUUGAGGUUUUAAUGGUUUGUAUAUGAUGUUUAUCUGUUGUAUAGAUGUUGUAUAAAGUUUCAUCGAAAAAUAUUGAGGUUUGGUUGGUCAAAUGGAUUAAUCUCGCACAGCUAGCAAAACUGGAAAAAAUUUUCCAUAAUGCUCAAACAGCCUUCUUGUUUCAUCCAUAACUCUGUGCUUCGAUGUCAAAAUCAAGUGCCGUCAGUGGCAUUUGAAACUAGACAUUCCCAACUUUCCAACGGUAUAAAAUGCAACUCCUAAUUGCACCCGAGUAUUCCGUAUCAACCGUUUAAAGAUGACUGUCCUGUUUCUCUGUUUUCCUGGAACGAAGUUCAAAAUCUACAACUUGAGGCUCGAAUUUGAGCUAGUUGUGUGCUGAAUUUCAAAACGAUUUCUUCUGUGAAAUUAUAGUUUUAUGAAUGUAUUUUGCAACGCCACCAAUCAUACUCAAUUCCGAGUUGAAUUGAGUGAUUUGUGAUCAAAAUACGAAACCUGCCCUGUUCUUGAAAACCCUAAAUUUUGGGCAGAAUUGAUGCUAGACUUGGUGUGGACUUGCCAAUUGAAUUUCUUGGAGUUGAAACACUAACCAAAUGUACCAUGAAUGUUCCUUAGGCUUUUACCACACAAAUGAACCAUGUUUGAAGGAUUUUCCUUGGUCAAAUGUUUUGGAAUGGAAAACAAAAAAAAAAGCUCAAGGCAGUUUUGCCUUAGGAUUUUUCGAAACUUUGGAUGUUUGGUUGACUACCUUUCCGAAGGUAUUUUUCCAUGAAAUUUGAUAGAGGGAUACCCUUUAUAUCCCUUUAUAUAGGAGUAUUAUAUUGCCGAACUUAGUGUCAAUCCAAGUCCAUUUCGCUGCUCGACUAAAUUACCAAGAUUCAUGACUCGAGUUUGGAAAACCCUUGUUUCACAAGGGAAUUUUGGUAAUUUUGAGUUGCCAUAUCUUAGUACUCAAAACUCCGUUUCUCAUUCCGCUUGUUUUGUUGUAAACUUGGAUUGUGACUCUAAUAGAGUUCCUAAUUUCAAAGGCUAGUUCCAAUCAAGUGAAUUUUGCCGAAUUUUCAAAUUUGGCCAAAAAUCAACUUAAAUCUGCCUUAUGAAACAAAACAGCGACUUUGAGCUUAUUUUUGAAUGUUUUCCAUUUAGAAUCUUAGAAAAGUGUAUUCUAGGAACUUUUAGUACCUUGGAAGAGGUUUCCAACGGUACCAAGUUUUCCAAUUUUUGACUUGUAAAGCGUGAGAUACGAUUUUUCUAAUGUAUCGUAUCAAAACUGAAACUUUCCGAAUUCCAAGGAAAUGGAGUUUUUUCAAGUACUUCUUAUUCCUUCGAUAUUAUUUGAACGUUUUAUACUUGAUUUCCAAAAUGAAAACUAAAUUUCUCCUGUACUUUGAAACCCCACUUGAGAGCCUCGAUUUAGGAUAAUUUGGGCUCGUUUCACGAGACUUUCUAAGAUUGUACUAUGGUAUGAUCUUCUUUAAUAGUAGGGGGUUUGUGAAUGAUAGUCUAUUAUUAUUUGCUCAAGCGCACACGAGAACCUUCAGGAGGAUCCCACAGUGAACGCCUAAAGCUCCGAGGGACAUUUCUUCCUCAUUACUUAUAUUGGUGAGUGUCAAGUGUAUGAAUACUUGAUACAUGCUUGAUUGUUAUGAUUGUUUGGAGAUUUUGAAAAUAGAUGCGAGUGUGUAUUUUACCGCACUCGUUCUUAUUUGAAAUAAAUGACUCAUGAUUCAAAUGUACUAAAUGAAUUAUGAAUGGCUUAAUUGAAUGAAAUGAGAUGAUUGAAUGAUUGAAUGAAAUGAAAUGAUAUGCUAUGGCUGCAUACGUCGUUUGAGUGAAUCUCCUCGACCCUCAAAUGAAAAUGGGGGACGCCCAAACUCAUAGGCCGACCUUGGACUCGAGCCGGUAUGGGUUUGGUCGGAAACCUUGGCGAGCCAUGAGAUAAAUAAGCUCGACCUAAUGAGAGGUCUUGCUUGGCAUACUCGUGGAGUAUCGCCUUAUAAAUGUCUUGCGAGCCCGGGAGGUGCACGGUGGACGGAGGGAAGUAAGUGGUGAUCUACGAAAUGGAAAUACCGACCCGGUUGCCGGAGUGUCAUCGCGGGAAGGUAUACGAAUGACAUUGGCAAAGCAAGUGGAAAUUAGCUCCUGAGAGCUCCAAUAUCCUUGAAUUGUUUCUAUUUACUUUUCCGCUCAGAUUGUUAUUUAUUGCAAUAUUGUCGCUUUACUUGUUAAAUUGAGGUUGUUACUUGAACAAUGUGCUUGCAUGUGUGUUCUUGGCCUCACGAGCGUUUUGCUCACCCUGUAGAUUUGUUUUCCUUAACAGGAUUUGGGUUUGGAGUGAGAUUCGGAGAAAUUUCUCUUUUGUGUACUCUUGUAAUAGGGUUCCAACUCUUUUGUCUAGACUUUUGGGAUAUUAUAUAUUUGAGAAAAAUGCAAUUUUGGUACCUAAACUUUGACGGACGAGCGGUUUUAGUCCCCAAAUUUUGGACGAAAACAAAUUUGGUACCCGAACUUUUAAAUUUUGAGCACAUUAAGUACCCUUGACGAUUUUUUCCCAAAUUGUUACCUGAAAAAGCCAUGUGAUAGUCACGUGUCCGGCCGAAAUGGAAUUAAAAAAGGCCAAAAAUGCAGUUUUGGUACCUAAACUUUGACGUACGAGCGGUUUUAAUCCCCAAAUUUUUGACGAAAACAAAUUUGGUAUCCGAACUUUCAAAUUUUGAACACAUUAAGUACCCUUGACGAUUUUUUCUCAAAUUAUUAUCGAAAAAAGUCAUAUGACAAUCACGUGUCCGGCCACAAUUGUAUAAAAAAAGGCCCAAAAAAUGUCAAAUGCCAUUCUAAUACUAAGUAUUAAAUUUAAGGACUAAUAGCGUAAUAAAGAAAAAAUUCAAGAACUAAAUAACAUCACAUGAGUCAACAAAACCCAAGAACUGAUACAAAUGAGCUCCAAUUCCAGACAAAUUUUGUGACUUGAUUCUUAGAUUAAUGUACUGGAAUUGGAGCUCAUUUGUAUCGGUUCUUGAGUUUUGUUGACUCAUGUGAUGUUAUUUAGUCCUUGGAUUUUUUCUUUAUUACGCUAUUAGUUCUUAAAUUUAAUACUUAGUAUUAUAAUGGCAUUUGACAUUUUUUGGCCUUUUUUUUUAUACAAUUAUGGCUUGACACGUGACUGUCAUAUGGCUUUUUUCGGUAACAAUUUGGAAAAAAAUCGUCAAGGGUACUUAAUGUGCUCAAAAUUUGAAAGUUCGAGUACCAAAUUUGUUUUUGUCCAAAAUUUGGGAACUAAAACCGCUUGUGCGUCAAAGUUUAGGUACCAAAACUGCAUUUUGACCUUUUUUUAUUCCAUUUUGGCCGGACACGUGACAGUCACAUGGCUGUUUCCGAUAACAAUUUGGGAAAAAAUCGUCAAAGGUACUUAAUGUGCUCAAAAUUUGAAAGUUCGGGUACCAAAUUUGUUGUCGUCCAAAAUUUGGGGACUAAAACCGCUCGUGCAUCAAUGUUUAGGUACCAAAACUGUAUUUUUCUCUAUAUAUUUUGGGUUGUAUUAUGGAAGCCCGAUAUAAGGAUUGGAUGAUUGUUAUAUCUCAUUAAGCUUGAACGCUUCCGCGUUAAUUGUAUUUAUCUUUUCUGGUUGUUGAUUUCUAGCACCGCUAUAAGCUUGAAUGGUGAUUGCUUGAGUCCUGGCGAGAAUUGAGCAGGCGUUCCGCUGAUACCCUUUGGUUCGCCUUAGGGAGAAGUGGGGGCGUCACAGCUACUCUACUGUUGUACCAUGUAAUUGUAGUAUUACAUAUAUCAAAGCAUUUUCACACACUUUACAUGCACUAGGAGGAUUCGCACGGUGUAAUUUUCAACCUUGCCCAAAAAUGACCAAUUAUUCAAAUUUACAUAUUAAGUAUGAAAAAUUAUAUAAAAAUGAACUUAAAUCUUUGUGGUUAUAUUUUUGUAGUUUUAUUAAACAGUGAAAAUAAGUAAUUUGUUAAGGUAAUGCAAGAUAAUAUAAUCAAUAGAUUACUGAGAUUAUUAAGAUGUCCCUUGUUUUGGAUACAAUGAAAAGAAAAUAAAAAAAAGAAAGAUAUAUUUGAGGAGAAACUGAUAGUUUUGUUCGUAAACUUUUGCAUGAUUGAAUUGGAUAAUCAUUUACUUGUCCUAGAAAUAAAAGAAAUUAGAGGAGAAAAAAUGAAGAUAGAUGAUCAUGCACUUUAGCUUGACAAAGUCCUCAUAUUGGCUCCUAUAACAUGGAAUAGCAAAUUCAUAACAUAAUUGAAGGGAAAAAAAAAAAGAAAAGAAAAGUCGAGAAAUUUUCAUUGUUUGCUCCGACCUCAACAAAAAGCAACCAGUACUCAAGUUUCGCUUAAUCUGCAAAACAAAUAAGGUGGAACAUGUAAUAAACUUAAACAUUUAUUUAAUUUUAAUUUUAUUUUAUUGUGUAAGGUAAGCUAAAUUUAUAAUAAAAAAAAACAAAAAUUACAUUUCUUUGUACAUGCUGAAAGAAAUAGGAUAAGUGUAAGGAAGAAUCAUUCUCAAUCUAGAAAAAUUGGUGACUUUUGAGCAAAUAAAAAAAAUCAUGGCCAAAGUUUCUUACCAAUAUGAGAGUAACUAUCACAAAUUCGGUGAGUUCAAAGCAAAAGCCCAAAUAAGAAAAUGAAAAGAAAAGAAAGUCAAUGUCAAAAACCAGAAUUUGAGGGGAGAUCUCUUGGUGAUGGCAAUAGUUUCUUUUGUUCCUUUUUAAUAAGAGGAAAAGAGCAAAUUAGCAAUGCAAACAAAGCAAAUAUUAAAAUAACUAAUCUCUAAAGCAGAAAAUGGAGAGAAAAACGUCAAAAUUAUGGAAACUUAGUAAAUACUAAAACUUAUGGGCACUUAAGCGCUAUGGAGAUAAACAAACAUUUAGAUUUUUUAGAUUCCUAAAUUUCUAUCACAUAAAACAUUAGACAUCAAAGAAGUAAACAAAAUUUAGCCCAGGCAAUCAUCAACAAACAAAAACCUCUACAUUAUAUCUGUAAAUCAGAAUUCGAACAUAUUAAACUGUAUCAAAAAAAAAAAAGAGAAAUUCCACCAGGCAUGAUAUGAAAACAACAUAUUUAAAAAACUCUUAUAUUGCACAUUAAAUUUUUUCCCAAAAAUAAUUUAAAAAAUGCCUACAAAUGUCCUACAUCAUGCAACAAAGCACAAACCACAUAUAUAUGUGUGUGUGUAUGGAAAAAGCUAAAAAAUUAAAGGUCAGUAAUAUAAAAAAGAAUAGUCGAAGCAACUCAUGACAGGAUCCAAACAGAACAAACAGCUACGAACAAAUACAAAAAAGGUAUAGUGAUGCAAAUUUGGUAUAAAUUUAUCUUUAAUAUCUGCAUUAUCCCUUUAAUCAAUUCAAAUGUCCAUUUGUAUUGUAAGUAAGAAAAUCACAUAAAAGCAAGAUACCAAGUGUCGGACAAAAUCUAUGUUAAGGCUAGAAGAACCACCUAUUGAUAACACCUUCGAGGGCUGCUGGAAUAAGAAUAUCACAGUCUUCAAGCAAAAUAGAAUUGGGAUCAACACUGUCAGCACCCCUCCAUGGUUUUCCCUGACAUGCUUCCAUAGGUUUAGUACGUCAAUUCCCUUACCGUGCUGCUUUAUGGCUCCUGUUAUAUCACUUGCGCGAAUUACCUUUUCCCCUUGUUCACUGAUAAGUUGAGCAGCCCAGGAUCCGACAUUACCAAAUCCCUGAAAUCAAGAAGAAAAUUCUAUGAUCAUAUGACAUUCGAUAAUUUUUGACUUUUUAACUCGCUCUCUCUUCUCACGAGUCAUGAGACAUUUUGUGAUGUAACUUCUAAGUCCUCAAGGAAGGCUCUUUGAAUGAGCUUGUAGUUUCAACAAAAUGCAUCCCACAGUAUUUGAGCAUAUCAGAAACUAAAGGUACACUUGAAACUACAAAUGCAUCCCACAGUAUUCGAACAUAUUAUAAACUGAAGGUACACUUCCCAGUGGUGCUACUUGUACAACAAAUCAUUGCCUAGCGAUACUCUUUCCAUAUUCAUUAAGCAGCGCUUUAGUUGCAAAGAGUACUCCCCUCCCUGUUGGUGCAUCUCUGCCGAGGGAUCCACCAAGAUCAUGUCACCCAAGAAUUUGAAUAUCUUGCGAUAAAUAAAAGUUGAAAUUUUUUGAGGUUCAAAAUCUUAGAAAUCAAAGAAGCACAUUGAUCCUUAUACAUUUGGAAUUGGAUAAUUUACUACAGGUUUUCCAGUUACUAUUGCAGGUGAAUAGCCAUGAAAUUUAUAGUACUCAUCCAAGCCAUUGUCCGCUCAAAUGCGAGACAUUUCCAAUCCAGUUAAUUGGAUGAGCUUCAUAGACAAUGUUGUGUUUAUCACUAUAUUUUUCUCCAAAAACAAAAAUGUCACCUAGAUAUGUACUCCAAUCAUAUCAUACUGUUGAAAACCAGUUUUGCACUGACCUGUGCAUUUGUUCCCAUAUCAGGCGCAGGAACAUCAGUGUGAACUCUAAUCAAAUUAUUCUUAGUGCUGCUAGUGUAACUCAAAAUUUUGGUCAAUGACUAACUUGGCAUGGAAGUUCUAGAUUCCCAGAGGAGAAAUGUAUUAAUUCAUCAAGUGCUGAAAACCAAUGAAGAAAAGGGAACUGGAAGAACUAAAGCAAAUAGAAAGACAUUUUAAAGAUGAAAAAAUCUAUUUUAAACAACUGAUCUUUUUAGUUAGCAUAUGGAUUGCUUUUUCUGAGCAGGAGAUCAACAAAACACCUGCAUGAAAGACACCAAAAAAAUGACUAAAACGAAAACUCGAAAAGAGAAAAUGCCAAAGAAAAUGGCUAAAAAGAAAAGCAUAACAUAAUAAAGAUAACAUAAUAAUAAUUAAUACAGCUAGAGCAUAGCAUAAGCAAUUAUUACAAUAAAUAAAAAAUAAUAAUUAAUAAUUGUGAUUUAUUUGGCAACCAAAAAAAGCAUUGAUAAUUGUGAAUAAUUGGGAUACCAAUUUUUUGUUAACACAAUUUAUUGUUGGGAAAGGGAAAAAAAAGGCUAAAUUUUAGCACAAUCCUACAUGCAAUUAGAAAACUACCACCUCCCAUCCAAUCAAAACUCGCCACAUCACCAUCUUCAUAAACAAUUGGGAGGACUACCACCAAUGAACGAAUCAGAGGACAACAACUCAUCAAAUUAGAAUCAAUUGGAGGACUACCACCAAUCAGCCAAUGAGAGAAUGUCAAGUCAGCAAUUGAGUUCAAUUAGAGACAAUUGCAUUCACACAUAGACUAUGUAUGUUAAUAACUAUUCAAUAUAACAUUUAACCGGUAACAUAUAAUAUUAAUGUGUGGCAAUGGCAACUUGUAGUUCAUGACAUUUAUUAUCAUACAUAAGGAGUUGCAAGAAUAUAAAUCAUUUCAUAGAUAUUCAUAAUUCAUAAUUUCAUAUACAAUCACAAUCCAAUUAUAUUGAUCUGUUCAAACCCGUUUACUAAUAACCCGUUCAAAUUCACCCAUUAAAAUUUAAACGGGUCUAAGUGAGUACGUAAUUAAAUUCAUUUGAUUGGUGGAUAGUUGAUUGAUUGGACUGACCCAUUUAUACUCAUUUAAAAAUAAAUAUACAUUUAAACUCCAUUUUUACUAAAUGUUAAAAAGAUAAAUUUGAAUUUUCUAUUAAUCUAAUAAUAAUAAUAAAAUAUUAUUUUUUUCUUGUUAAACGACAUGCGAAAAAUUAAAAAAAUAAGUAGAAUUUCAAAUCAAUGAUAAAUGGGAAUAUUAACUAUUCCCGAAAUCAUUUCCUCCCUACGCUUAAUUCAUGCGCGUGUGGCCUCCAGUGUCCAUUUUCCCUUACGGUUCACUACAUUAAUCAUCAGUGUACGUGCACGUGCCUAUUUCUGAGCACGUUCCUAUGGUAGGCACGGUCAAACCGUGCCUGCCAUAGAACGAUCCCCACACGCAUCCCUCAUCAGUCCCGUCCAUACUUCUUCUUCAGGUCUCAGCUACUAAACAAUAAACUCUGCUCCACUCAACUCUUUCCUCUGUCUUGUGUUUUUGUCGGAAAAUGGCGGCGUCAGAUGAAGUGAAAGUGCCAAGAAUCAAGCUGGGCUCGCAAGGUCUUGAAGUUUCAGCUCAAGGGCUGGGCUGCAUGGGCAUGUCAGGCUCCUACGGGCCGUCAAAGCCCGAGCCUGAUAUGAUCAAACUCAUCCACCAUGCUAUUAGCAGAGGUAUCACCCAUCUUGACACCUCCGAUAUCUAUGGACCUCACACCAACGAAAUACUCAUUGGCAAGGUACCAUAUUUGCAAAUUUUCUGCUGUUGUGCGCUAUGCAUAAACUCUUGUACUUUUAAUUUCUUAAAGAGCAUAUUUGUAAAUAUUUUAUUUAUACUUAACCCCCUGCACUUCAAAACUUGUCGCCCUUUGUGCCCCCGUAAUUUUGCUUGUCAGCACUUAAACUCCAUUUGUUUAAAUUGUAAGUAUUAUUAGUCAAAUAGGACAUUGUUCUUCUUUUCUGCUUCUUCAUUUUUUCAUGUUACUGCUUUUUCAGUUUGUCCUCCUUUAUAAACAUGGAAUGAAUUACUUUGACUUUGAUUUUGGUGCAAUUUUGUAUCAAAUGAUUUUUGCUAUGAAGUUAUUGAUUUAUUAUGAACUAUGCGUUGUAUAUUUACACAAAUUCUGCUAGUUAAACAUUCAUUUGAGCAGGCAACAUGAGUAAUAUAAUUCUCUAUGGGUGCAUUUGGUAAAUUUGAAGUUUGAAAACUGAAAUUUAAUCUAAAGUUUGAAUCCAUAAAGUUAUUAAAUUGUUAAAUACUAAAUCUGAUACGUUUGAGUGCAUGCCACACUAAAUGAUAAGUGAACAACUCUAUCACUUAUUUUUGGAGUAAGUGUUGCUUAAGAAAUUCAGUGUCAUUUAAUUAAUUCAAAUAUUCAAAUUUGAUUUUAAAUGCUUCUGAACAUAUUAAGAUCUGAAUUCAUUAACUUUAAGUGCUAAAUUAGUUGUCAAGCAGGGCCUAUAAUUAUUAGGUAACCAAGCAAACGUGUUUAGGGUAUAAUAGUAAUUAACUUUCAAUUCGUCUCGUUGUUCUUUGGUAAGGAAUUCUUUGAUUCAUUUAAUAAUAUUUUUCUCGUACACAGGAAUCAAAAUAAUUGAAGUUUUAUCUCUACCAUUGAGAUAUGUUACCUUCUAAAAGAAAGGAAAGGGAAGCAAACAAGGGCGGAAAAUAGGAAAGGGCAAAGUGAUGAUAAAUAAAAUUGGAAGUAGCAAAAUGAGACAAGUGAAUUAUUACAAGGGGUUAAGUGUAAAUUAUAUUUAUUUUAUUAGACUAUUUAACCAAAAAGACUAGACUCUUUUAAGGCACCAAUCAAAAGUCCCAACUGCUGGAAAUAACAUAAAAACGACUUUGUUUGGUUUGGCGUUUUUGGAGGUGGUUCAUGAAAAUUUUAUUGUAGUUUUUUUUUCUUUCUUGAAAAAAUAUACUUGUAAGAGAAAAAAAAAGUGGUUGAAAAAUAUUGAGAGUUUUUUUUUAUAAAUAGUUUUCUAUAUAGCUCAGUCACCCAAAUUUUUCAAUAUUCCGACAAUGGCAUCCAUGUGGUGUCAAUUGUCAAACGUGCAACAAAGUUGAGAAGAGAAGGAUUUCAAAAUCUUGUAGCUACACGCGUAUAUGUUGAAUAGCUCUAUCCCAUUAGAAGUAGCCACGUGACAUGAAGGAUUUAGAACUUUUCUACCAUCUCUUUAUUUUCUCUUUUUUUUCCCUUCAAAAUUCGACGUCAUAAUGAAAUUGGUAUUUUUGUCUUUGAAGUUAAAACUUUCAUCAAUUAAUGGAAAGUUUACUAUUUCUCUGAUAAGAGAGAGUAAGUUUUAAAGAUUAUGAAAAGAGAAUUGUAUGAAGGAAUAGAAGGGAAAAGAAAGGUAAGAAAAUGGACGGAUUGUGUUUGGAUUGAUUUUGAGAGAGGAAAGGAGAUGAAACGGAAAGAAAAGGAAAUGGAUGGAUUUUGUUUUGCUCAGACAUCAUUUCCAUACAAAAGUAGACGGAAACAGAGGGAAAGAAAAUCUAUUGACAGGUGCCGAACCUGUACAAUAAUAAAUACCUACUCGAGAAAAAUACAGAUUUUGUAUAUAGCGGUGAGUAGGGUCGAAUCCACGGGGACUGGGGAUAAUUCGUUUCUUCUAGAGUCCAAAGUAUGGGGGGUUUUGGAUUGAAUGCUAACUAAAUAAAUAAACUGCAGAAAAUAAUUGAUAAAGAGAAAUAAUUAAGGGAAAACUCUAGCCAAGGGUACACUUCAGACAUGGUUCAGGCACUGAUCAUUGAUUCACACAUAAUUCCACAUUUAUUAAUAGACCAGUUAUAGUUGUCAUGCACGCGAUAAACAACCAACCUUUCCUUAAUUUCUCGAUAGUUAAGGUACGACCGUUAACUAUUUCUCUAACCCAAAAACAACCCUAGGUACGACCGUAGGAUUUAAUUUCUAGAUUGCAUUAAUAAUUAGAAAGGCCCAAUCCUAACUAACAAACACGCUACGGGGGUUUGUUUAAGUUAGAUCGUAUGCUCCCCUGACAUAAACCCAAUUACGCCAGUUGCUACUGAGAUAAAGAUAACGAAUAAUUACGGAUUCAAUUAUCCCUAUUUAGCAAAAUAGCCUAUGUGAAUAAUUAAAUAUUGCGCAUCUAUUCAAUCACUCACACGAGCUAUAGCAAUUAAAAGCAGGAAACAUAUAAAUAUAAAUAAAUUAAGGAAGCAAUUAAAAUAAAUUAGAUCUCACAGUAAUUGUUGAACCAAAUCUUCAGUUGUCCCCUUGAUUUGAAUUAAGAGGUUAGUUCUCCAUUAAUGGAGAACAACCAUGCGAAAGAGCUAAGAAAAGAAAACUCAAAACUCAACUAAAAACCUCAAACUAGUGAUUCAUUCCUCCCCGUUCUCUUGUACGUUUCUCCCUUUUUAAAGCCAAAAGGAAGUCUAAUGCUAUCUCUAGUGGUCCCCACACCAAAUUCAAAGUCUUGUACGUUUCUUUUCCUAGAGUCCAAAUGAUUCAUGCUUCUUAUCCGUGGUCCCCGCACAUGUGGACAAAGCCUUCCAAGUACUUCUUGUUCCAAGUCUCUUUCCGUAGCUUUCUUUGAAGAGCCCAAAUGACUUAUUAGCUUUUCACUAGCUUGUGGUCCCCACCACUCCAAGGGCCCAAGAAUUGAAGUCCUUAGAAGUCUCCCUAUUUUCCAUAAAGUGCUUCCUUUUUGGUAGUUUCCUGCUUCAUUCAUGAAAUUAAGUCCAGAUACCAAAUAUGAGUAAAUAUUAGCAAUUAACACAAUAUUUAUCAGGGAUGAAAGGGGAAAUUAAUAAUAAAAUUACUAACAAAUUAUACCCUAUCAAUUCCCCCCACACCUGAAUCAUGCUUGCCCUCAAGCAUGGGAAAAAUUCAACUCAACAAUGGCUAGCUUUCACAUUAUCAUAGCCAGCUGUGCUUAUACCCAAAAUCAAGAUCUAGUAACAAAGUGUCAAGACAUGUCUCUCCCGGUUAGCUCCUAAGUUCAUAGACUUGUCCAAUUCAUGGCUAAUUCGCUUAGGAAAUCCAAAUACUAACUAGCAACAGUCAAUAACUAAGUCAACUGGCAACCAAAAUCUCAACAAUACGAACCAAGGAUCGGCAGGCUAACAUGAUCAUAAACUCACAUAUUCUCCACAUCUGAUUUUCUCUUCUUUUUUUUUUCUUCUUUUUUGUUUGAUUUCCCUUUUUUUUCUUUUCUUUUUUUUUUUUCCUUUUUCUUCCCUUUUUUUUUUUGGAUUGCUUAGUCCCGAGCUGUUUAAGUCUUUUGACGUGAACUCUAACAUUUUUAGAUGAAAGAGCCCAGUUACUCAACUUUUCACUGCUCCAGGACCACUUACUCAUAAAUAUCGCCACUUUUUGACGCGAGAGCCGACACUUGUGGUGAAGACUCCCGGUUACUGGGUGGCGACACUAGCGGAGUAUAGCCAUACGUUAUUCACCAAUAAACACCAAAAUAUCAAGUAAUUAAAGAUCAUAGCCUGCGUCAUGUCCUAAAUAUGGAGAACUAAGGUAGACAGGAGACCAAUCCACACAACAAUGCCAGCCAAAUAUUUACAUUGCCUAAACAAGUUAGCCAUAAAUUGCACCAAGUCGUUAAACUCAAAAAAAAAUUCACCAAGACAGCAUGCUCUUACUUGCCACCGAAACUCAAUUCAUAGUGUAAACUACAACUAGCAAUAAAUAAAUGAGCUGCCAAAAUAUUCACCAAGAUAACAGCAAGGGAAAAAUACCCAAAAGGGAUAAAGGAACAACACCUAAACAGAAAACAAGAGGAAAACAAUAAUAAAAAAAUGAAAAACUGAAAAUAUCCAGCACCCAAACUGACCCCCCCACACCUAAAAUGACGCAUUGACCUCAAUGCGAAAAGAUAAUAGCAGAAAAAGGGAAGGGGCAACGGUACUUCCCUGAAGUCGUCCAGACAAGGGAGGGUUAGGCGGAAACGGCGGAGGGAAACCGGCUUGCUGCAUAAAUGCCGCUAUACUCUAUGCCAUGCCGGCGACAUUAGUGUCAACAGUGACCAUCCGAGCCUUCAAAGCCUACGUUUCUGAAGCCUUUAUUGGGCCACAUAAAACGCGAUUGAAAACGCGCCUUCAACUCGCGUUUUCUAAGUCGCGUUUCCUUCACAAAACUUGCAGGACUUAAAACGCGAUUGAAAACGCGCCUCUAUGCAGGUAAACGCGACUUCAAGUCGCGUUUUUGAAUCUUGACCCCUUCCUGCACUUCAUCACGCGGGCGCGUCAAGAGGAAAUGCCACCUACAUAUUAGCAACAACGAAAACUGAAACCCAAAAUCAGUCGAAUUCAAGGGAAAUAUAUUUAAACUAUCACACGAAAUCAAACAAACAAUUAAAAGAAACAAUUGGGUUGCCUCCCAAGUAGCGCCUUUCUUUAAUGUCUUUGGCUAGACAUGCUAUGCUUGUUCACGGGGGAUAAAAUCUUGUGGCUCGUUUCAAUGUUUCAUCUUCAAUAUGAUCCUGGUAACCCUCAUAGAUGGAGUAAUCUUUGAGCACACGAGUUACGGGCUUCCAUGGACUAGUAAAUGGCGUUAAACAAGUCAACAAUGAUCUGCAUUCUCCACUCACUCCUCCACCACACGCAUUCAUCGGUUCAAGAUAUUUUUCCAUUGCCACUCUUAACUUAUUCCUGUCAUGAAAUUUCAGAUUUUCUGGUAUAAUAAAAUCAAUUUCAGUAACAGGAAUUGAAGAGGAGGAAUUAGGAAAAUAUUGAUUAAGGAGUGGAGAAGAUGUCACCGCAUUUGGAAAUUGUUCACUGGAUUCAUUCACUUGAAUAAUUUGAUGUUGGAGUCUCAUGUCUUCCGCUUCAACUUCCUUUUCAACUGUAUCUUUGGAUCCUCCUUCUUGAGACUCUUGCAGUUCCAUAUCACUUGUCAGGAUAAUUGCACUCUCACCUUUCUUAGAGUCAUUGAUGGUCUGUGAGGGCAAGUCUGACAUGAAUGACGAUUGUUGAGACUCUUGCAGCUGAAAACUCAUUGGCCCCUCUUCAUAAUUAACGUUGGAGUUAUCCCACCAUCCUUGAUCAUACCGGUUUGAAUAAGGGUCAUACCACGUUUGAGAUCGAGGUGAAGAAUCUCCAAAUUUUUUUUUGAGAUAGUCACUCAGGUAGUCUUGAUAUUCGGGGCACAUACCGGUUGAAUGAUCCCUGGCAUAACAAAUUUCACAGGUUGCAGCAGCCAUUCUUUCUCUAACAGAGUUUAGUGCCUCUGCAUAUGCAGACCUCACAAAAAAACUAGCCUCAUUACCUUCCCCGGAAAUAAAAUCCAGUAUAUCACCAAAAUACGGAGUGUAAGAAACCAUAAACUAAAUAAAAAAAAAGAAUGUAAACAAGAUGAAUUGAAAAAGAAACAAAUAACUAGCGCCAGUCCCCGGCAACGGCGCCAAAAAUUGACAGGUGCCGAACCUGUACAAUAAUAAAUACCUACUCGAGAAAAAUACAGAUUUUGUAUAUAGCGGUGAAUAGGGUCGAAUCCACAGGGACUGGGGAUAAUUCGUUUCUUCUAGAGUCCAAAGUAUGGGGGGUUUUGGAUUGAAUGCUAACUAAAUAAAUUAACUGCAGAAAAUAAUUGAUUAAGAGAAAUAAUUAAGGGAAAACUCUAGCCAAGGGUACACUUCAGACAUGGUUCAGGCACUGAUCAUUGAUUCACACAUAAUUCCACAUUUAUUAAUAGACCAGUUAUAGUUGUCAUGCACGCGAUAAACAACCAACCUUUCCUUAAUUUCUCGAUAGUUAAGGUACGACCGUUAACUAUUUCUCUAACCCAAAAACAACCCUAAGUACGACCGUAGGAUUUAAUUUCUAGAUUGCAUUAAUAAUUAGAAAGGCCUAAUCCUAACUAACAAACACGCUACGAGGGUUUGUUUAAGUUAGAUCGUAUGCUCCCCUGACAUAAACUCAAUUACGCCAGUUGCUACUGAGAUAAAGAUAACGAACAAUUACGGAUUCAAUUAUCCCUAUUUAGCAAAAUAGCCUAUGUGAAUAAUUAAAUAUUGCGCAUCUAUUCAAUCACUCACACGAGCUAUAGCAAUUAAAAGCAGGAAACAUAUAAAUAUAAAUAAAUUAAGGAAGCAAUUAAAAUAAAUUAGAUCUCACAGUAAUUGUUGAACCAAAUCUUCAGUUGUCCCCUUGACUUGAAUUAAGAGGUUAGUUCUCCAUUAAUGGAGAACAACCAUGCGAAAGAGCUAAGAAAAGAAAACUCAAAACUCAACUAAAAACCUCAAACUAGUGAUUCAUUCCUCCCCGUUCUCUUGUACGUUUCUCCCUUUUUAAAGCCAAAAGGAAGUCUAAUGCUAUCUCUAGUGGUCCCCACACCAAAUUCAAAGUCUUGUACGUUUCUUUUCCUAGAGUCCAAAUGAUUCAUGCUUCUUAUCCGUGGUCCCCGCACAUGUGGACAAAGCUUUCCAAGUACUUCUUGUUCCAAGUCUCUUUCCGUAGCUUUCUUUGAAGAGCCCAAAUGACUUAUUAGCUUUUCACUAGCUUGUGGUCCCCACCACUCCAAGGGCCCAAGAAUUGAAGUCCUUAGAAGUCUCCCUAUUUUCCAUAAAGUCCUUCCUUUUUGGUAGUUUCCUGCUUCAUUCCUGAAAUUAAGUCCAGAUACCAAAUAUGAGUAAAUAUUAGCAAUUAACACAAUAUUUAUCAGGGAUGAAAGAGGAAAUUAAUAAUAAAAUUACUAACAAAUUAUACCCUAUCAAUCUAGUUCAUGAUUUUCUAGUAAAAUGCCUCAAGCACCCAAAAUUUUACGUAAACUUGAGUAAGCAUGUAUUUCAUAUCUGUAGAACUUGCCAUUUGUGAAACCUGCUUUAGAUAUGAAUUGUGGUAUGCAACAGCACGCUAGGAAUGUUUGGCUAAGCAACUUAUGUAAAUAUUUUAUCGUUAAGCAAAGUUCCUCCUUUCAUGUCUGUCAUUCUAUGCAAACCUCCUUUUAUCGUUAAGCAACUUAUGUAAAUAUUUUAUGUAAAUAUUUUGGUUUUCUUACUUUCCCAUCCAUAUCUAAUCCAAAUAUGACAAAUGAGAACUAUUUUCCUCUACUCUCCUUUCCUUUCUUUUUUACUAGGAUGUUUUAUUUAUUUAUUUAUCCUUUCCUUUGAUCCAAAUGGUUCCUAAAAGGGCACUAAUUAAUCUACAUUGAUCAGUUCCCUAUAUUUGUAUUAAUGUGCAUGUACACGAUUCUGUGAAUGACAAUUAGGCUAGAUUGCUUCAAAUCUUGUGAAUGACAGAGCUAGAUUGUAAAUUUAAGUUGAAGAAAUAUAAAACAAAAAGAAAAAGAAAAUGGAUUGGCUCCUUUAAGAGUAUCAGACUUCUAAACCCCAAGGAUUACAUAAUUUUCAUAUCCUUUGCCACACAAAGAAGUGGCAUAGCCUUAACAAUGAAGUGUUGGAAAAACUCCAGAAGGACUGUGCAAUCCAUGAAAUCACAAAAUCCGCUUGCUAUACCAUGCAUUAAUGUGUAUGUCCUUGAUGAUUAACAUAAUGAAAUCAUGGUUCUAGGCCUUGAAGGAAGGAAUAAGAGCGAAAGUGGAGCUAGCAACAAAAUUUGCAAUCAGUUAUCAGGAUGGGAAAUUUGAUGUAUGUGGUGAUCCAGCCUAUGUGAGGGCUUGUUGUGAAGCGAGUUUGAAGCGGCUUGAUGUGGACUGCAUUGAUCUCUAUUAUCAACAUCGCAUCGAUACACGUGUGCCCAUUGAAGUCACGGUUUGCUCCAUUUUGCCUUUCUUGUUUUUUAGCUCCACCUCAUUCUUGAUGAAACAAAAGUUUGAUCAACUCCAAAUUUAGAAUAAUUCAGUUUCAUGUCCGUUUCAAUUCUUCAAAAAUUGCACAGAAAAGUUAGUCAACCUUAUGGUCUAGGCUAAUCUGCAGUAUGGUAUUGCUGAAUUAGCACAAGGCAUCCUGAAAAGUGAAAACAAUGAAAAUGUCUUAUAUUAGCUUGACAGUCCUGCUGAGGGAUAUACAGGUUGAUAUCAUGCUAUACAUUAUACAGCUUUCGUUUAGAACCAAGAGACCUGAGCAUUCUUUUUCAUUUGAGAUAGGCUAUCCAGUUGAGAUAUACUAUUUACUUACCUUGUCAAUCGUUUUCAGUCGGUGCCAAAAGCACUGCAGAUAGACGUUUUUUAGUCAAUAUCUAAAAACAUGGUACUCAUUUUGUUCAGAGUAUAGCUUUUUGUCUAAUUGUGAAAGCCAACUGCAACUGCCUCAUUGACCUCUCCAAGCAAUUCAAAGAUUUCAGCAGCUUGCUUACAUUAAGCUUUUAUGAAACGAUUUCUCUGUCUUCUUUUUCUCAUGUAGUCAGCAAAGAAUUGUCUUGUUUUCCCUGAGUAUUAGGAAGAAACUUUCUUGCAGUUUAAUCACUCAAAAUACAGGCAAGUAUAAAGGAAAUCAAGCAAAAUUGGCAACUGAUAAUUGCUGCGUACAGCCAUUAUUAUAUAUAUAAGUCAACAAUGUCAUGUAAUCAUAUUGGAGGAGCAUUAUGUUGGCAUGGUCCAGUAGAACUAAGUCAUCCGUUGGGCUGUACAUAGAGAACUAUCACUGGAUGCUUAUUGCCAUUUUCAUCAACUAGGGAUUUCAGUUUGACGUAUACUUUGUCCAAGACUUCGUUGAACUAGUGCAACUUUUACUUGUUCCACGUAAUAUUUCGAUUAUCUGCCUAAGUAUUGAAUGUAAUAAAUCAGCUUCGCAUCUUCUUGUCCAUUGAAAUUCUCUAGAUUGGAGAGCUCAAGAAACUGGUUGAAGAGGGUAAAAUAAAGUAUAUAGGUCUGUCUGAGGCCUCAGCUUCAACAAUUCGAAGAGCACAUGCUGUUCAUCCAAUAACAGCUGUACAGUUGGAGUGGUCAUUGUGGACCAGAGAUGUCGAGGAAGAGAUUAUUCCCGCUUGCAGGUAGUGCGUAUAUUCUGCUGCAUUUUCUACAUGGUCUAGAAGAAAUAUGAAGUUCUCAAUUCAGUUUUUGGUAUAAUCUUUCAGAGAUCUUGGCAUAGGGAUUGUUGCAUAUAGUCCACUUGGACGAGGUUUCUUCUCAUCAGGUCCAAAGCUGAUCGAGAAUUUGGCUGAAGGUGACUUCCGAAAGGUUUGUGCAUAGCCAAAAAGAUUGUUUAUAGUUCGAAUAAGUUUCUCACUCAGUGGCAAUCUUGCUUGAUCACAUUUAAUCAAAUUUCUAUUAAGCAUAGCAAUUCAACGGGUUUUUUUUUGUUUUCUUCUUGAACAAGUCUUGAACUCUUUAGUUUGAUUCAAUGAAUGCAGAUUUUGGUGUCCUCGGUACUUAGUUCAAAUUAAAAGAUAUAGCACUAGCUUUGUCAAAUUUUAGAUCUUAUAUGAAUUGAAGGUUGUUAUUGCAUGCUGGAAAUUUAUAUAGAGGACAACAAUCGCAAGCAAUGGAUGGUAUUGAAUUUUAAAGUGCAAAGACGUCCUAAGAUGUCAAAACAGGAAGAAACUAUGCCAGUUUUUAAGUAAAAGUCUCUUUACUGUUUUGAGGGGAAAUGGGCCUUAGACUUCAAUUUCAUCAUUUAGUCUCAGGCACAGAACUUAUGUUGUCUUGUGAAACUAUCAUUUUUCUUUUACCAUUAAUCCUAAAACUGAGUUUCAUUGGUCAGAACUCAGAAGUAUACUUCAUAGUUGAUUUGUAUUUUAAGUUUCCUCUUUGAUGGGAAAUGUAUCUCAGAACUUAACUCCAACAGUUGAUGAUUCCUACUUGGGAGUAUUCAGUCCACCUUGAUGCAUUGUUCUUUCCCCUGAACUUGUGCCCUUCAAACAAUAUUUCUGAUCAUCUUGAAGUAAUUAGUACCGUCUGUUCAUUACUCCCUUCUGAUUUCUUGCAUUAUAGUUUCCUCUUUAAUGGGAAAUGUAUCGCAGGAUCUACCUUCUACAAUUGAUGUUUCUUUCCCCUGAAGUUAUUCGUAACGUCUUCUGGCAUUAUAGUUGCUUAAAUUUUGAAAUUCAUACAAUGCAGUAUAUGCCAAGGUUUCAAGCAGAGAAUUUGGAGCACAACAAGAACUUGUACGAGCAGGUCAAUGCCAUUGCUUCAAGGAAGGGUUGUACUCCAUCACAGCUAGCACUGGCCUGGGUCCAUCACCAAGGCAAUGAUGUUUGCCCCAUACCGGGCACUACCAAGAUUGAGAACCUCAAUCAGAAUAUAGGAGCUUUGUCUGUAAAACUGUCUGCAGAGGAAAUGGCGGAACUUGAAUCCAUCGCUUCUGCAGGAGUCAAGGGUGAUAGGUAUGGGCCUGGCCUUGUUACUUGGCAAACUUCUGAAACUCCACCUUUGUCAACCUGGAAGAGGACAUGAAGACAUAUCUUUGUUAUGGCAAUAAUUCCUUCUAGCUAUGUGCCUGAGGGUGGAUUUCACUAUAUUGACAGUUGAGUGACGUAUUUGUUCCAAUAAAUUUCGUCAUACUAUUGUCUCGAGGUUUUAGGCAAGUAAAGUUAUAAGAAGAAUGCGUUAAAGGUUUCUUCAGAGGUUGUACUGAAUAAAAAUCUGAUCAUGUAAAAAUAGAACAUAAUUUUCCUUGCAGUUGAAUGCGUUAAAGGUUAGCUAUUCUAGUUUUGAAUGCUAUAGCAGUCCAUUUCUUAUAUGCUACACUGUUACAAGAGAUAUAGACUGUCGAACAGCAUUUUAUGGUCGGAAUGUUUACAUCAAAAGCAUCUCCAAGGACAUGUCAUUCUAAAGUGUAUAAACUACAUCAUACCAACAAAAAGCAGAAAAAGGCCUAAGGUAUGGGAUAUUUCUAAAAUUUCAUGGGAGGCUUGUGAUAGCAAAAACUUCUGAAAUUGUCCCUUGAACUAAACUGAAAGACAGACAAUGGUAAGAUUUUAAGCAUGUCUUGUUAAGUUAAAAGGUUAAAACUUUACAUACAAAUAAAUGGUCAAAUUCACUUUAAAAUUGUGGUGUCAUCUUCCACCUUAAACUUUUGUACUAUCCAAGUUUGUUUUAAUUCCUUUGGGAAAAUGAAACAUCGAAUGCAUUCAAAAAAAUGGAAAGGAAAUGGCUUACCUUUGCACUUACGUAUCCAAUUCCAAUUUGAACAUUACAUCAUCCAUCCAAUUGAAAACAAACUCCUAUGGAGAUUUUUUUUUUUCCUUUAUUUUGUUAUUAGAUCUGAAUUUAUUUCACAUUUGGUUGUCAGAUCUAAAAUUUUUUUCAAAGUUUGAAUCUAUUUCAAUAUAUUUCAUUAUCAUUAUUGAAACUUAAAACAGUUUAUUAACAAAUCUGGCGAUUGCCAUAUGUACGAAAGGGAGACACUUUUAAAAUUCUUUAUAUUUUUUUAGAUCUGUUUGUAAUUUUCAAUUCUACUGUAUCUGUUAAAUUAUGAUCUGUAAUUUUUAAUGCAUGUUUGACCUACCAUUAGGGGAGUUAUGUAAAUCAAAUCAUGUUAGAUGAUUUCCAAAAAAAACUUAACCGUUAAUUUCUCUUCCCCGUUUUAUUUGUCCACUCUUCAAUUGUCAAUAACUCUUUUAAGAUACUUUGUAAUACAAAAUCAACUAAAACCGGUAGAAUCUGUAAUUAAUAGCAGUAUUCAUAUCAUGUUUUUGUAUAUUACUCGUACAUCUAAUUAGUCACAUUUGGAGAAAGAAAAAAAAAAGAUGAAAAUAAAAUUCCCCGAAUUUUGUGGUUUUUUUUGGUGCCUUGUUUAAUCUCUAAUUUUGUUUUUUGGGUUUUUAUUUUAAUCGAUUUUGGUUAUAGAGAUUAAGUUUCUCAGCCCGAUUAAUCGGUUAAUUAAUUAAACAUGGUUUGAGUUGGGUUGGUUUAGAGAUUUGGUUUAUAAAAGGACACUUGGCAAGUUUAGAAGGGGUGGGAUAGGGAAUGAGAUAGGGUGUGAUACAGAGAUCCGUUGCGCAUGGCGAGCCACAUUUAAAAAUUGGUUCCUACCAUAAAGCCUAUCAUGUCCUGACACAAGAUGGACUGUUUUUUUAAAUUUUUUUUGAAAGCAAGUGAAAAGUGUUGCAACUCAGGACUUGGAUAGUAAUUUUAAAAUUUAAUAGUGCACCUACCUUUUAACUUUUUUCGUGUGCUUUUAAGGUAUCAAAUGGGGAAAAAAACCAAUACCAUAUAACUUCAAAUGCAAGAUGGUACGAAAUUUGUUAAUAUGGAGAUGUUAAUAUACAUUGACAUGUAAAAAGUGCACUUUUAUCAAAAAGAUAUUUAUACUAAUAUUACAGUCAUUUUUUUUUCGAAAAUUCAACUUUUCAUGCAAAUAUGUAAUCAAUAUGCAUAAAUAGAUAGCAUUAGAUGAAUUUAAACAAGUAGCCUUCAAAUUUAAAAAUAUUUGAUUUCGUAAAUGUGCAUUCGCGAUUUAGAAAAAGUACUUUUCAAAUGGCAAAUCUAGAGAGCAAUAAAUACUCCUAGUUUAUUUUGAUUUUAAAUCUUCUUUUGACUUGUCAAAAAAGUGAAAACAUGAAACUAAUAAUGGGUCAGAUGCAGAUGAGUAUUAGAAAUUUGUUUUCUAGACUCUUUGGUCUCGCAAUUUUUUCAACAAUCAACUCCGACCAUUAUCACGGUCAUGUGAUUGUAGGUCUACCAGGUUUCGUAGUCCACGACAUGGAUUGGAUAUGUUGAUUAGCUGCCACCUUUUGGCGGGAGGUGAGGUUCAAACCUCACCUGCAGUAAAAAAAAAAAACUUAAGGGUUGUGUCAUAGUACUUUCUUGAUUUAGUUGAAUAUGUAUAUCCACUAACACCUAACACAAGUCUCCUUAUGCUCCCCUAGAUUAGGAUAGAAUAGGAUAUACAAUUGUAUCGUUGCCGAAAAAAAAUAUUAGUUGCCACCCUAUUGUCAUUAUUUUUCUUUUGUCAAUCAGCAACGUCUAUUCUACUCAUAGUUAUUAAACCCGGCCCGGGAAGGAGUCCGGUGAAAGAGCUGGGUCAACGGGUUACUGGUUUAACCGGUGGGUGAGUGGUCCAACCGUUAGGUCACUACAUAUAUUUAAAUAUUAUGUUUUAUAAUUUUUUACGCCAUAAUAAAUAUUCAGUUAGUUUAAUUUAUUAUAGAUUCAUUAAUUUUUAUAAGAAUUAACAACCUAAAUUUAAUUAGUAAUCCACCAACUUUCAAGUAUAAAAUUUUAUCUCAGUGUAAUUAUCUAGUUUAUUUAUGAAUUUUAAGUGCAAAAGUUUAUUAAGAAUAAUAUUGGCCUUUAAAAUGAUUUGUGUAAUAUGUUAUUUUUAAGUCAAUUUCAUAAUUUAUAGAGUUCAGGGAAUAAUAAAAAUAUUAUUAAAAGAUUCCAAAUAAUUAAUACUCUAAUAUAUAGUAUAAGAACAAAAUAAUUAAUAUAUGGUUGGCUGGUCUAGUGGUAAUGGUAGUCUACUUUUUUGCAUGAGAUCACGUGUUCGAAUCUCCAUUCUAGCAAUAUUUAUACAUUUUUUUCUUUUUCGUAGAACGGGUUCAAUGUUGAAACGAUCUUAUCAAGAACUCGGCUCGGUUUCAUGGCCGGUUUACCGGAUUGAUCGAUUGAACUGCCGGGCCGGAUCGGAUUUAAUAACUAUGAUUCUACUUCUAUUUUGAUUUCUAUUUUAGGGGAAGGGGAGGUCCAAUUGAAAAAUUGAUAGCUAUUGAACCAUCAUCGGAUAAAAUGAGUGCACUAUGCACGUAUGCGAAUCUAGGAGAAGCCGGCGCAAUGAUGGGAGGCAAUGUUUGAAUUUUUACCUGUCAUUCCACUAAGAUUUAUAGUCUUUGGUGGUGGCUAAUCACCCAAAGAGCUGUUGGUUAGCUCCCACCCUAUUAGAAACUAAAGGUUUUCAACCUUCUAAAAAAAAUGUUUUUGACUUUAAAAAAAAAUGUUUUUGUUUUUGUUUUUUCAAAAAUUAUUUUCAUCUAUCACCAACGGCAGUCAUGGGUUAUUUAUCCAAACAUAGAUCCGAACAACACUAAUCUCUCAGCAGCCAUCCCCUCAUUCCUUCUUGUAUCCUUUUUAUGAAUAGGAUUCAUCUUUUUGGUGUUCUAAAAUCACAUUUAAAAAGUUUUUUUCCCGAAAGUGUUAUUAUUUAGGAUGUGAAUGUUAAUUUUAAAAUUUUAAUAGUGGACCUAAAAAAAACUUGUAAAUUUUACAUAUGAGCACAAAGGGAAAAAAAACACCACAUAACUUCAAGUCCAAGAUUGUAUGCAGUUUGUCCAAUAAAUAGAUAUUCAUAAUUCAUAAUUUCAUAUAUACAUGUUAACUAAAAGCGUUAAUCACAAUCCAAUUAUAUUGAUCUGUUCAAACCCGUUCACUAAUAAUCCGUCCAAAUUGGCCCAUUAACUUUAAAUGGGUUAAAGUGAGUAUAUAAGUAAACCCAUUUAAUUGGUGGAUAGUUGAUUGAUUCGUCUUACCCAUUUAUACCUAUUUAAAAAUAAAUAUACAUUUAAACUCAAAUUUUACUAAAUGUUAAGAAGAUAAAUUUGAAUUUCCUACGAAUCUAAUAAUAAUAAAAUAUCAUUUUUCUUGUCAAACAACAUGUGAAAUAUUAAAAAAAAAGUAGAAUUUCAAAUUAAUCAUAAAUGAGUAAUUGAGUAUUCUCAUAUCUAUUUGUUAAAUGGAUAUAAAUGAAUUGAUUCAAUUAUAACUAUUACUCAACUAGAAUCCGCUCAAACCCGUCUAAGUUAAUCAUUUGACACCCCUAAUGUUAAUAUAUAUUGACAAGUGAAAAGUGCAGCAUUUAUCACGAAGAUAUACUUAUUUAUCUCAAUAUUAAAGUCAUUUUUUCAUUACAAAAAUAUUGAUAAUUUCAUAAUUUCAUGGAAGUAUGUAACCAGUGACAUAACAUAGUCGCCAGUGGCGAAUCUUGUCACGAGUCCUCUUUUCAACACUUUGAUUAUGGGAUACACUUUUAACAAUAUGCCCCCACGUUGUUUUUCGAUCACUUUUUUUUUUUAAACCUCACAUUCGUUCGUUAUGUAUGUAUAAUUUCUUUUCAAAAAACUCCAAAAAAGUGGCAGCCCAAACGGGGCCAACAAUCUACUAUGUUCGGCUGUUCUCCCGCCGGACCCACCGCCGGCGGCCAAUAGCCGCCGGACCCACCGGCCGCCGGCGGCCAUGGCCAUGGGUCAUCUAUAAAAGCAUAGAUCAAGACUACACUAAUCCCUCAUCAGUCCAGUCCAUCCAUACUUCUUCUUCAGGCCUCAGCUACUAAACAAUAAACUCUGCUCCACUCAAUUCUUUCCUCUGUUUCUUGUGGUUUUUGUCUGAAAAUGGCGGCAUCAGAAGAAGUGAAAGUGCCAAGAAUCAAGCUGGGGUCGCAAGGUUUUGAAGUUUCAGCUCAAGGGCUGGGCUGCAUGGGCAUGUCAGCCUUCUACGGGCCGCCAAAGCCCGAGCCUGAUAUGAUCAAACUCAUCCACCAUGCUAUUAGCAGAGGCAUCACCCAUCUUGACACCUCCGAUAUCUAUGGACCUCACACCAACGAAAUACUCAUUGGCAAGGUACCGUAUUUGCAAAAUUUCUGCUGUUGUGUGCCAUGCAUAAAAUCUUGUACUUCUAAUUUCUAAAAGAGCAUAUUUGUAAGUAUUUUAGUUGGGUAUAUUAUAUUUAAACCCCUGCACUUGAAAUCUUGUCGCCCUUUAUAUUAUAUACGACAACUGGUCACAUCAAAGUGAAAGAGGAGGGCACUGUAAUUUUUUAUAUUGAAAGGUAUUUAUGUGUAAUUAUCAGAAACUUCAGGGGAGGUUUCUGAAAUUAUCCCUAAUAUUUAUACUAUAUAUAAAGGGAGCCUUAAAUUUGGUGUAAACCUUUUUUUGUCAUCUUUUAGAUUUCCAGCUUCACCCUCUCGAUCACUUAAUCAUACCACCAUAUUGCUAAUCAGCUUAACCACAAAUUAACUUUCACCCCAAUUAUCUAAAUAUAUAUUGCCUACAUAACUACCUACAAACAUUGUAACCAACAAGUUAAUUAAAAUUCUAUUAAAGAACUAUUUUUUUGACAAAUAUUCAAAAAACUAGUAAAAGAACUAUAUUGUCUCCCUUAAUUUUGUUUGUCAGCACUUAAACUCCAUCUGUUUAAAUUGUAAGUAUUAUUAGUCAAAUAAGACAAUAAUAUUCUUCAUUUUUUCAGAUGUUUGUCCUCAAUUGUAAGAGAAGGUCGUAGGUCUAGCACAUACGUUGAAUAGCUGUAUCCGAUUAGAAGGAUUUAGAACUCUUCUACCAUCUCUUUUUUUUUUUCUUUUGUUUUUUCCUUCAAAAUUCUACAUCAUAAUGGAGUUGGUAAAAUAGUACUAUUUUCGUCUUUGAAGUUAAAAUUGUCAUCAAUUUAUGGAAAGUUUACUAUUACUCUGAUAAGAGAUGUUAAAAUUUACUUUUUACGAGCACUAAAGUUUUAAAGAUUAUGAAAAGAGAAUUGUAUGAAGGAAUAGAAGGGAAAAGAAAGGUAAGAAAAUGGAUGGAUUGUGUUUGGAUUGAUUUUGGGUGGGGAAAGGAGAGGAAACGGAAAGAAAAGGAAAUGGAUGGAUUGUGUUUUGCUCAGACAUCAUUUCCAUACAAAAAUAGACGGAAACAGAGGGAAAGAAAAUCUAGUUGAUGAUUUUCUUAUAAAAUGCCUCAAGCACCCAAAUUUUACAUAAACUUGAGUAACCAUGUGUUUCAUAUCUGUAGAACUUGCCAUUUGUGAAACCUGCUUUAGAUAUGAAUUGUGGGAUGCAACAGCAGGCUAGGAAUGUUUGACUAAGCAACUUAUGUAAAUAUUUUAUCGUUAAGUGAAGUUCCUCUUUUGCUGUUCAAAAAAAAAAAAAAAAAGAGAGAGAGAAAAACCAUUCCUUUAAUGUCUGUCAUUCUACCAAACAGCAGAUUUAGGUUUUCUUUCUUUCCCAUCCAUAUCUAAUCCAAAUAAGGCAAAUGAGAACUAUUUUCCACUACUCUCCUUUCCUUUCUUUUUCACUAGGAUGUUUUAUUUAUUUAUUUAUCCUUUCCUUUGAUCCAAAUGGUUCCUAAAAGGGCCCUAAAUAAUUAUUCUACAUUGAUCAGUUCCCUAUUUUUGUAUUAAUUUGCAUGUGCACGAUUCUGUGUAUGUUCAUGUUGUGCAUCAAAUCUUGUGAAUGACAAAGCUAGAGUGUAAAUUUAAGUUGAAGAAAUAUAAACCAAAAAAGAAAAUGGAUUGGGUCCUUUAAGAGUAUCAGACUUCUAAACCCCAAGGAUUACAUAAUUUUCAUAUCCUUUGCUAUACAAAGAAGUGGCAUAGCCUUAACAAUGAAGUGCUGGAAAAACUCCAGAAGGACUGUGCCAUCCAUGAAAUCACAAUUCCGCUUGCUAUACCAUGCAUUAAUGUGUAUGCCCUUGAUGAUUAAUAUAAUGAAAUCAUGGUUCUAGGCCUUGAAGGAAGGAAUAAGAGCGAAAGUGGAGCUAGCAACAAAAUUUGCAAUCAGUUAUCAGGAUGGGAAAGUUGAUGUACGUGGUGAUCCAGCCUAUGUGAGGGCUUGUUGUGAAGCGAGUUUGAAGCGGCUUGAUGUGGACUGCAUUGAUCUCUAUUAUCAACAUCGCAUCGAUACACGUGUGCCCAUUGAAGUCACGGUUUGCUCCAUCUUGCCAUCCACCUCAUUCUUGAUGAAACAAAAGUUUGAUCAACUCCAAAUUUCGAAUAAUUCAGUUUCAUGUGCGUUUCAAUUCUUCAAAAAUUGCACAGAAAAGUUAGUCAACCUUAUGGUCUAGGCUAAUCUGCAGUAUGCUAAAUCUUAUUUAGCACCAGGCACCCUGAAAAGUGAAAACAAUGAAAAUGUCUUAUAUUAGCUUGGCAGUCCUGCUGAGGGAUAUACAGGUGGAUAUCAUGCUAUACAUUGUACAGCUUUCCUUUAGAAGCAAGAGACCUGAGCAUUCUCUUUCAUUUGAGAUAGGCUAUCCAGUUGAGUAAUGAUAUGCUAUUUACUUACCUUGUCAUUCGUUUUCAGUCGGUGCCAAAAGCACUGCAGAUAGAAGUUUUUUAGUCGAUAUCUAAAAAACGUGGUACUCAUUUUGUUCAGAGUAUAGCUUUUUGUCUAAUUGUGAAAGCCAGCUGCGACUACCCCAUUGACCUCUCUAAGCAAUUCAAAGAUUGCAGCUGCUUGCUUACAUUCAGCUUUUAUGAAAACAAUUUCUGUCUUCUUUUUCUAAUAUAGUCAGCAAAGAAUUGUCUUGUUUUUCCUGAGUAUUAGGAAGAAACUUUCUUGCAGUUUAAUCACUUAAAAUACAGGCAAGUAUAAAGGAAAUCAAGGAAAUUGACAACUGAUAAUUGAUAUGUACAGCCAUUAUUAUAUCUAGACGAAGUCAACAAUGUCGUGUAAUCAUAUUGGAGGAGCAUUAUGUUGGCAUGGUCCGGUGGGCUGUACAUAGAGAAGUAUCACUGGAUGCUUAUUGCCAUUUUUGUCAAUUAUUGAUUUCAGUUUGACGUAUACUUUGUCCACGACUUCAUUGAACUAGUGCAACUUUUACUUUUUUGCACGUAAUAUUUCGAUUAUCUGCCUAAGUAUUGAAUGUAAUAAAUCAGCUUUGCAUUUUCUUGUCCAUUGAAAUUCUCUAGAUAGGAGAGCUCAAGAAACUGGUUGAAGAGGGUAAAAUAAAGUAUAUAGGUCUGUCUGAGUCCUCAGCUUCAACAAUUCGAAGAGCACAUGCUGUUCACCCAAUAACAGCUGUGCAGUUGGAGUGGUCAUUGUGGAGCAGAGAUGUCGAGGAGGAGAUUAUUCCCACUUGCAGGUAGUGCAUAUAUUCUGCUGCAUUUUCUACGUGGUCUAGAAGAAAUAUGAAGUUCUUAAUUCAGUUUUUGGUAUAAUCUUUCAGAGAGCUUGGAAUAGGGAUUGUUGCAUACAGUCCACUUGGAAGAGGAUUCUUCUCUUCAGGUCCAAAGCUGGUCGAGAAUUUUACUGAAGGUGACCGCCGAAAGGUUUGUGCAUAUCCAAAACUAUGGAGUUUUUGAGUAUAGAUUGUUUAUAGUUCGAAUAAGUUUCUCACUCAUCUAGUUUUACCACAUUCAGUGACAAUCUUGCUUGAUAUCCCUAUUCUUGUCUAUCUGUCAUAUGUUGCUGCACUUUUUGAUGUCCAAUAAUUUGAUUAAGCCUUAUAAUAUGAUCACAUUUAAUCAAAUUUCUAUUAAGCAGAGCAAAUCAACAGGCUUUUUUUUUUUUCCUGUCGAACAAGUCUUGAGGUCUUUAGUUGAUUGAAUGAAUUCAGAUUUUGGUGUCCUCUGUAUUUAGUUCAAAUUAAAAGAUAUGGCGCUAGCUUUGUCAGAUUUUAGAUCUUAUAUUAAUUGAAGGUUGUUAUUGCAUGCUGGACAACAAUCACAAGCAAUCGAUAGUAUCGAAUUUUAAAGUGCAAAGAUGUCCUAAGACGUCAAAACAGGAAGAAACUAUGUCACUUUUUAUGUAAAAGUCUCUUUUCAGUUUUGAGGGGAAGUGGACCUUGGACUUCAAUUUCAUCAUUUAGUCUCAGGCACAGAAUUUCAUCAUUUUGUCCUGUGAAACUAUCAUUUUUCCUUUACCAUUAAUCCUAAAACUGAGUUUCAUUGGUCAGAAGUGUACUUCUUAGUACAAACAAUAGUUGAUAUGCAUUUUAAGGUUCCCCUUUGAUGGGAAAUGUAUCUCAGAACUUAACUCCAACAGUUGAUGUUUCCUACUUGGAUUAUUCAGUCCACCUUGAUGCAUUGUUCUUUGCCCUGAACUUGUGUCCUUCAAACAAUAUUGCUGAUCAUCUCGAAGUAAUGUACCGUCUGUUCAUUUCUCCCUUCUGAUUUCUUGCAUUAUAGUUUGCUCUUUAAUGGGAAAUGUAUCUCAUGAUCUACCUUCUACAAUUAAUGUUUCUUAAGAGUACUCAGUCCAGCUUACUGGAUUGUUCUUUCCCCUGAACUUUGUACACCUCAAACAAUACUAUUGAUCAUCUUGAAGUUAUUCAUAUUGUCUUCAUUUGUAGACGACACAUGCUUCACUUCCUUUUGCAUUUCUGGCGUUACAGUAGCAUAAAAUUUUGAAAUUCAUACAAUGUAGGGUAUGCCAAGGUUUCAAGCAGAGAAUUUGGAGCACAACAAGAACUUGUACGAGCAGGUCAAUGCCAUUGCUUCAAGGAAGGGUUGUACCCCAUCACAGCUAGCUUUGGCCUGGGUCCAUCACCAAGGCAAAGAUGUUUGCCCCAUACCUGGCACUACCAAGAUUGAGAACCUCGAUCAGAAUAUAGGAGCUUUGUCUGUGAAACUGUCGGCAGAGGAAAUGGCGGAACUUGAAUCUAUUGCUUCGGCUAUCAAGGGUGAGAGAUACGAGUCUGACG